AGCAACGAGGCAGAUCUUUGAGGCCACGGGAUUCCAAAGAGAAGAAGGAGAUCAAGACAGAAAAGGAAGAGAAAGAAAGGGAAGAAGACAAGGACAACGCAGAUAGACUGUUCACAAUCAUCUAGCAGUGUUCUCAUCUCAGGUUAGAUCAAAUCUACAGUAGACUCUUGCUGUGAUUACUUGGGGAGGUUUUAGAUAUUGUGGGCAGUGACGUGAUCCUUGUAUCCCAGUUAUUCUCUUGUGGUUGUUGCUAGGGUUUUGGCCAAGAGAUUGAGAUUUGUAUAUUCAUUAUUCUCAUAGUGGAUUAUCUCUAGUUUUCCCCGUGGUUUUUACCCUUCAC
rnacentral:lncRNA from 1 species